rnacentral:rRNA from 1 species
GGAAUAUUGGACAAUGGGCGCAAGCCUGAUCCAGCCAUGCCGCGUGAGCGAAGAAGGCCUUCGGGUUGUAAAGCUCUUUUACCCGGGAAGAUAAUGACUGUACCGGGAGAAUAAGCCCCGGCUAACUCCGUGCCAGCAGCCGCGGUAAUACGGAGGGGGCUAGCGUUGUUCGGAAUUACUGGGCGUAAAGCGCACGUAGGCGGCUUUGCAAGUUAGAGGUGAAAGCCCGGGGCUCAACCCCGGAAUAGCCUUUAAAACUGCAUCGCUUGAACGUCGGAGAGGUGAGUGGAAUUCCGAGUGUAGAGGUGAAAUUCGUAGAUAUUCGGAAGAACACCAGUGGCGAAGGCGGCUCACUGGACGACUGUAGACGCUGAGGUGCGAAAGCGGGGGGAGCAAA